GAUGAGCCCGCACUUGAUUAGCUAGUUGGUAAGGUAAAAGCUUACCAAGGCAACGAUCAAUAGCUGUUCUUAGAGGAAGACCAGCCACAUUGGGACUGAGACAC
rnacentral:rRNA from 1 species